UCAAGCGAAUAAGCGCACACGGUGGAUGCCUUGGCGGUCAGAGGCGAUGAAGGACGUGGCAGCCUGCGAAAAGUAUCGGGGAGCUGGCAACAAGCUUUGAUCCGGUAAUGUCCGAAUGGGGAAACCCACCCGCUUGCGGGUAUCCUGCAGUGAAUACAUAGCUGCUGGAAGCGAACCUGGUGAACUGAAAUAUCUAAGUAACCAGAGGAAAAGAAAUCAACCGAGAUUCCGUAAGUAGCGACGAGCGAACGCGGACUAGCCCUUAAGCUGGAUUGGUUCUAGGAAAACGCUCUGGAAAGAGCGGCCAUAGAAGGUGAUAGCCCUGUAUCUGAAAGGGCCAUUCCAGUGAAGACGAGUAGGGCGGGGCACGUGAAACCCUGUCUGAACAUGGGGGGACCAUCCUCCAAGGCUAAAUACUACUGACCGACCGAUAGUGAACCAGUACCGUGAGGGAAAGGCGAAAAGAACCCCGGAGAGGGGAGUGAAAUAGAACCUGAAACCGUGUGCGUACAAGCAGUAGGAGCUCCGCAAGGAGUGACUGCGUACCUUUUGUAUAAUGGGUCAGCGACUUACUGUUCGUGGCAAGCUUAACCGUAUAGGGGAGGCGAAGGGAAACCGAGUCUGAUAAGGGCGCAUAGUCGCGGGCAGUAGACCCGAAACCGGGUGAUCUAGUCAUGCCCAGGGUGAAGGUGCGGUAACACGCACUGGAGGCCCGAACCCACUCCCGUUGCAAAGGUAGGGGAUGAGGUGUGAUUAGGAGUGAAAAGCUAAUCGAACCCGGAGAUAGCUGGUUCUCCUCGAAAGCUAUUUAGGUAGCGCCUCAUAUGUAUCCUCUCGGGGGUAGAGCACUGUUAUGGCUAGGGGGUCAUCGCGACUUACCAAACCAUUGCAAACUCCGAAUACCGAGACGGACUGUAUGGGAGACACACGGCGGGUGCUAACGUCCGUCGUGAAAAGGGAAACAACCCAGACCCACAGCUAAGGUCCCAAAUUUUGUGCUAAGUGGAAAACCAUGUGGAAAGGCACAGACAGCCAGGAGGUUGGCUUAGAAGCAGCCACCCUUUAAAGAAAGCGUAAUAGCUCACUGGUCGAGUCGGUCUGCGGGGAAGAUUUAACGGGGCUAAGCACAGAACCGAAGCUUGGGGUGCAUAACUUUGUUAUGCGCGGUAGAGGAGCGUUCCGUAAGCCGUUGAAGGUGGAUUGAGAAGUCUGCUGGAGGUAUCGGAAGUGCGAAUGCUGACAUGAGUAACGAUAAUGCGGGUGAAAAACCCGCACGCCGAAAGCCCAAGGUUUCCUUGCGCAACGUUAAUCGGCGCAGGGUGAGUCGGCCCCUAAGGCGAGGACGAAAGUCGUAGUCGAUGGGAAGCAGGUUAAUAUUCCUGCACCUCGCGUAAGUGCGAUGGAGGGACGGAGAAGGUUAGGUGUACCAGGCGUUGGUUGUCCUGGGGAAAGGCGGUAGGUUUGGAUCUUUGGCAAAUCCGGGAUCCUUUAAGACCGAGCACCGAGACGAGCCUUUAAGGCGAAGUCACUGAUACCACGCUUCCAGGAAAAGCUCCUAAGCUUCAGCUUACGCAGACCGUACCGUAAACCGACACAGGUGGGUAGGAUGAGAAUUCUCAGGCGCUUGAGAGAACUCGGGUGAAGGAACUAGGCAACAUGGCACCGUAACUUCGGGAGAAGGUGCACCCUUUUUGGUGGCUCGUGCGAGCUAUAGCUGAAGAGGGUCGCAGUAACCAGGCCGCUGCGACUGUUUAUCAAAAACACAGCACUCUGCAAACACGAAAGUGGACGUAUAGGGUGUGACGCCUGCCCGGUGCUGGAAGGUUAAUUGAUGGGGUCAGCCGCAAGGCGAAGCUCUUGAUCGAAGCCCCAGUAAACGGCGGCCGUAACUAUAACGGUCCUAAGGUAGCGAAAUUCCUUGUCGGGUAAGUUCCGACCUGCACGAAUGGCGUAACGACAGCGGCGCUGUCUCCACCCGAGACUCAGUGAAAUUGAAAUCGCUGUGAAGAUGCAGCGUUCCCGUGGCAAGACGGAAAGACCCCGUGAACCUUUACUAUAGCUUUACACUGAACGUUGAGUUCGUCUGUGUAGGAUAGGUGGGAGGCUAUGAAACCAUGGCGCUAGCUGUGGCGGAGCCAUCCUUGAAAUACCACCCUGUCGUGCUUGACGUUCUAACCUGGGCCCAUUAUCUGGGUCGGGGACCGUGUAUGGUGGGUAGUUUGACUGGGGCGGUCUCCUCCUAAAGAGUAACGGAGGAGCUCGAAGGUACGCUCAGCGCGGUCGGACAUCGCGCACUGUGUGCAAAGGCAUAAGCGUGCUUGACUGCAAGAUCGACGGAUCAAGCAGGUAGGAAACUAGGACUUAGUGAUCCGGUGGUUCUGUAUGGAAGGGCCAUCGCUCAACGGAUAAAAGGUACUCCGGGGAUAACAGGCUGAUACCGCCCAAGAGUUCAUAUCGACGGCGGUGUUUGGCACCUCGAUGUCGGCUCAUCACAUCCUGGGGCUGUAGUCGGUCCCAAGGGUAUGGCUGUUCGCCAUUUAAAGUGGUACGCGAGCUGGGUUCAGAACGUCGUGAGACAGUUCGGUCCCUAUCUGCCAUGGGCGUUGGAGAUUUGAGAGGGGCUGCUCCUAGUACGAGAGGACCGGAGUGGACGAACCUCUGGUGUUCCGGUUGUCACGCCAGUGGCAUUGCCGGGUAGCUAUGUUCGGAAGCGAUAACCGCUGAAAGCAUCUAAGCGGGAAGCGCGCCUCAAGAUGAGAUCUCCCGGGGCACAAGCCCCCUGAAGGAACCAUGUAGACUACGUGGUUGAUAGGUCAGGUGUGUAAGUACAGCAAUGUAUUGAGCUAACUGAUACUAAUGAUCCGUGCGGCUUGACCAU
rnacentral:rRNA from 1 species